rnacentral:rRNA from 1 species
UUAUAUGGUCAAGCAAUUAAGCGCACACGGUGGAUGCCUAGGCGAUAAGAGGCGAAGAAGGACGUUGUAGCAUGCGAUAAGCCUCGGGGAGCUUGCAAACCAGCUUUGAUCCGAGGAUUUCCGAAUGGGGAAACCCACCUGCUUGCAGGUAUCCUGUACUGAAUACAUAGGUACAGGAAGCGAACCCGGGGAACUGAAACAUCUAAGUACCCGGAGGAAAAGAAAUCAACCGAGAUUCCCUUAGUAGCGGCGAGCGAACGGGGACCAGCCCUUAAGCUUUUUGAGUUCUAGUUGAACAGUCUGGAAAGUCUGACAAUAGAAGGUGAUAGUCCUGUAAACGAAAGGGCUCUUAAAGUGAAAACGAGUAGGGCGGAGCACGAGAAACUCUGUCUGAACAUGGGGGGACCAUCCUCCAAGGCUAAAUACUACUUAUCGACCGAUAGUGAACCAGUACCGUGAGGGAAAGGCGAAAAGAACCCCUGUUAGGGGAGUGAAAUAGAACCUGAAACCGUGUGCGUACAAGCAGUGGGAGCCUGUCUUCGGACAGGUGACUGCGUACCUUUUGUAUAAUGGGUCAGCGACUUAAUUUUAGUAGCAAGGUUAACCGAAUAGGGGAGCCGUAGAGAAAUCGAGUCUUAAUAGGGCGUAUAGUUGCUAGGAUUAGACCCGAAACCGGGCGAUCUAGCCAUGGCCAGGUUGAAGGUCGGGUAAUACCGACUGGAGGACCGAACCAACU